UGAGACAAUGCCCAACAACAAUGUUGAACAGAAGUUUGAGAUGGUUGAAGAAGUCCUGGGCGGUAGUGAAAUGCGGUGGGCGCGGUGGGCGUAGUGGCCAAUUGGUCUUGUAAGUCAUGAGAGUCUUGAUUUACAACGGGCUGUGUCAUUUCAGCCUUUACCUCGUCCUUGUUCUUCUCCUCAUUUGUCUUGUCCUUUUCCUUGUCCCCCUCCACCAUUUGUUCACCUAC